rnacentral:rRNA from 1 species
AGAGUUUGAUCAUGGCUCAGAAGGAACGCUGGCAGCGUGCAUAACACAUGCAAGUCGAACGGUAGUAUAUCUUCGGGUAUAUGAGAGUGGCGAACGGGUGAGUAACACGUAAGAAUCUACCUUUGGGACGGGGAUAACUUCUGGAAACGGAUGCUAAUACCCGAUACGCUGUGGAGUGAAAGAAUUUCGCCCAAAGAUGAUCUUGCGUCUGAUUAGCUAGUUGGUAGGGUAAUGGCUUACCAAGGCGACGAUCAGUAGCUGGUCUGAGAGGAUGGACAGCCACAUUGGAACUGAGACACGGUCCAAACUCCUACGGGAGGCAGCAGUGGGGAAUUUUCCGCAAUGGACGAAAGUCUGACGGAGCGACGCUGCGUGAAGGAUGACGGCCUGCGGGUUGUAAACUUCUUUUCUCGAAGAAGAAUAAAUGACGGUAUUCGAGGAAUAAGCAUCGGCUAACUCUGUGCCAGCAGCCGCGGUAAGACAGAGGAUGCAAGUGUUAUUCGGAUUGAUUGGGCGUAAAGCGUCUGUAGGCGGUUUGGAAAGUCUUUUGUGAAAUUCUUCAGCUCAACUGGGGGUCCGCAAAAGAAACUUCUAAGCUUGAGGGAAGUAGAGGUAUAGGGAAUUUCCG